CGUUGUUGCUUCUGUAACGAUCUCUCUCUAUCUACGUCACCACUAGAAAUGGCAACAUCUUAUGUCAGCUCGGCGAAUCGUGAGCGGUGGUGGCCUCGGCUUUCUCUGCUCAUCGCCUCGUCAUUUCUACCCGGAGAUUAGCAAUGGAGGCGGAUAAAACUUUAUCGCCGUCGUCGGAUCGAGUGAAUCGGGAGGGACUACAGGGUCCAAGGGACGAUAAUUCCUCUUGGCCAGUGGGUACCGAAGGUAGCUGCUGACGCUUAUGUGGCGCCUAAAUUUGUCUUGGCCGUCAAGUAACCGUCAACGAUGGAGCCUCGGUAUGGGACGGCUGCGUCCUAGGGGGCGAUCUCAACAAGAACACCGUUGGAUUCUGCUCUAUUUUGCAGGAACGCUGUGUUAUUCACGCCGCUUGGUUCUCAACUGCUGGGUUUCUGGCAGAGACAUCAAUUGGCGCAUACUUGUUCUAUUCUUAUGGAAGGUUCCCUGGUAGAGACACACCCUAUCCUUGAAGCCGGUUGUGUAGUUCCUCCAGGUCAGAGAAUCCCAAGUGGUGAGCUUGGAGCAGGAAACCUAGCUUGGUACACGAAGAAACAUUAGAAAUCUGUAAACUUACGGUGGCAAUAAGCAAUCUUAGCACAGAUCGUUUGAUGAUGUAGUUGUGAAGUCCAUUGAAAUGAGAGAUAGUUUGCAACUGAAAGAUUUUGUUGGUUAAUUUCUUUAAAUAAACCCAAAACCGAAAGUCUGUUUGAAGAAAA